GUGCGCAGAGGGGCGGGCACGUGGGGCCGCGCGGCGGGUCGCGCGGGCGGCCGUUGGUCGAAGGCGGGAGCGGCACGCGCGGAGUUGUGAGGGCGGCUCGUGCGUGAGGCGGCUCCUCCGGCCCCGCGGGGACCGGCUGCUGCCGCACGGGGCUCCGCGCUCCUCCGCGCUCCUUUGCACUCCUCCGCGCUCCUCCAGGCUCCUCCGGGCUCCUUUGCACUCCUCCGGGCUCCUCCGCGCUCCUCCGGGCUGCUCUGCCCUGCAGAGCUGGCGCAGGAGGAAGGGACUGCGAUCCUGUGUGCUGAGCGGACAUGCAGGACGAGCUGCACGGAGGAGCCUGUGGCUCUGGCCAGCCCGUGGCUGCGGGAGCAGGAUAGGAGCCGUCAUUUAAGCACCAAGAAGUACGUUGUCCAGCCGGCGAGAAGCAGCGCCCCGACCAGCACAGUGUAACUGAACAGCACAAAGGCCAGGAGCUCCUUGAGCACCUUGAGGAAGUGGAUGGUGAAGGAAUCCGGCAUGGCUCUGCGGCAGGUAGGGGGUCUGUGGGGCUGGCUGCCGCUGUGUUCCUGCCCAGUCUGCAAGCAAAGGGACAGGAUGAGUCUUUCUGAGCAAGGAGACUGCAGAGCGGAGGGAAUGGCUCCGCUGUGGGGAGAAAUGGUUGUGUUCAGGAGCGUUAAUGUCCUCCUGUCCCUCUAAGAAGGUUGCUAGUGUCAGCUUGGACUUGCAUGUGCUUGCUCAGAGUCCUGUACAGGGUUGCUGAGUUGCGCAGUGUUGAAAGAGAGUUUGGGAUCUGAUCAAAGUCUCCAAAUCAGGGCUGGUAACUAAGCAAAGUAAAAUAUAGACACCCAGGCAGUGGACGCUGCCGUGUCGGUGGGGACCAGAGACCCUUCCAGAGUCCGGCUGGCUAUCUACCCCCCCGUGUUAGCGACUGCACAUCUAGAGCUUCCCGGUCGGAGCCAUGGCUGAUGGUGCAUUACCAGCUGCGUUCUGAUCAAAGUGGUCAAUUUCUCCAAGGAAGCCACCAUUAAUAUUUAAUGAUAUAAUUGCAUCUAAUGGAGAUACUGGCACAAACUGUGCAUUUUGUUUAAGAAUGAUGAUAACUGAGGCUCAAGUACAAGUUUGCACAGGCAAAUAUUUAUAUCUCACAUUAAAAAUAACCUUUAAAUGGGAGCCACAGGAUAAGAUGCUUUAGAAUUCAUCUUCUAGCUGUAUUUUAAAGUCACACACAUCGCUUUAGAAGUGGCUGCUCAUUUGUUAGUUUAAUAUAAAAUCUGAACUCUCACAAAAGUUGUUGGCUCAUGAGACUUAAAAGCUGUGAAGGCGCAUCUAAAAAAAUCUACUGUUUCUCCAAUUUACAUGUUCUUUUAAUUUGGAUUAUAACUCUGCCUGGUCAAAAAUAUACACACUCUUGGUCAAGCACAUGAAACUAGACUUAACAUAAAGCUACUCUAAAAGGAUUAUUUAUUUUCUAAGCAAUCUGAAGUCAGCUGCAGUAAACUGAAUUCCCAUCCUGCCACUUAGAAUAUUUUUUUAAAGAGCUGUUGUGAUAAAGAGUUCACUUUUCGGUAUUGUUAAAGAGUUCAGUAAUUUCAUUCUAAGCUCAGGCACGUGUAUAUAUUGUAGGAGCUAUUGCAUUCUAAAAGCAGCCAUGGUUUCCUGGUUACUCAAAGCAUUGGAGUAUAUUUAUAGGCUUUAUGUGAUUUCUGAUUAUUUAAAAAGAUGUUGAUAAAGAAAUAAACUUACCAAGGCAGAUGAUGGGCUCUACUUUGUGAAGUUCCUAUUUCUCUCUAGUUUUGUUCCCGUGAAUUUCUGGCUUCUGGUCGGUUUGUGCUGUAGAUCAAUGCCCUUCUGCUCCGCUUGGCCGGGAGCGGGGAGUGAUGAGGUUGUGUUUGCAGCCCACGGGAGGGCUAAUGCACUAGGUGUGGUCAGGACAGUUCUGAUAUGACAUAGCGCCUUUGUGCAGCACAGCAGAGCACGCCAAACAGCUCCCCUUCUGUGCUUCUGUCAACAGUGUCUGGUGAAUUUAAGUGCCAUGGCUUAGUGUUACCAGGUCAAAAAACCUGCAUUUGUUUAAAUGUGUAUGGGGUUUUCCUCUAACAAAACAUUGUAUCAUAUUAUACUUUUCAUUCUGCUGUUCUGUGGAAGGCUGUUGUGCCUCUUGCUCCAUUCUCUGAGAGCCCUGCACUGCUGCAGGUCGCUUGGGGAGGAGGAUGCUCCCACACAGCUGGGGAUCACCCCACAUCAGCACGGCACAGGAUGGAAGUGCAGGCUGAGUCAGGGUCUUUUAUCAGAAGCGAGUGAGCGCUGAAAACAGCCUCAGCUGCCCUGUCACUGGGUCACUUCUCUGGCUUCACCCUUGCACACCCAAAAAGUCACCCUGCCUUUUAGAGAGCCAGGGCUACAACUCCUUUGCAGCAAGAGGGAAGGAGGAGGGCAAGCUAUAUGUUUAUUUUUAGCAAAACCGCUUUCUGAUAUCUGUAUAUAAAAAGUGGAAGUCUUUUGGGCUGGAGGUUGGGUAAUGUUUUCUUUUUUUGCUUGUAAACCAGACAAAUGCAGAGAGUAGAGAAGAAGAAGCAUAUGUACUGCAAAUCAAAUCUCUUACCUACAAAGAUAUUAUGAUGUAGAAAAUGGCCCCUUAAUUUAAUUAGCCUCUCUUGUUAUCAAAUUAUUACCCGCAUGGUCAGCAAGGCCUGAGACAGAAGCAGAACAUAAUCAAGCUGCUCAGGAAGCCUGUUAAGUAGUAAUUGCACCUCUAGAGAAUCGAUCAACGUCAAGAUGGGGUUUUAUUUUAUGUUGUUGUUGUUGAAUAGUUCCAGGAAGAGACUUUGUCUGUUUUGAGGGUCCACAUGGCUCUGGCUUGGUGGUGGUGGUCGUUCAGGCUGCAAAAAAAUACGCAGCAGUGUUGUUGAUAAAUCAGAGUUUACCCUGUGUCUGACAUAAGCUAUUUUUGAAAUAAGUUUGGGCUCUAGUGUUACUAACAAACACUAACUGGUCCAAGUGAAAAGGUAAGCAAGCUGUUGAAUUCGUGCUUUGUGUAGUUUCCUUUAUUCACUUGUGUUGCUUUUACAUGUCAUGAGCAUAGCUCACAAACUAGUCUGAUCAGUGUUAUUAAUUUCCUUGCAACUAGUUCAGUUUUUAAAGUUUUGGGGAAAAAAAUAAUCUGGAAAUGUUGACAGUAUGAAGACUCUUAAGGCCAAGCUAAGGACAUUCUGUAACGAUCGCACUGAAUCACAUUGUUUCUUGUUUUUCUCUGCACAGUAACAUUUCUGUCUCAAAGCUACUUCAGUUUUCUUUUUAAACACUGUGAAAUUACCUAAUUUACAAUGAAACUGUGGAAAUAAUGCAGAGCAAGGCAAUCCACAUUUGCUCCUUGCAUCUUUGUCAAAGUGGCAGCAUGUUUUGUUUUCUAAGACAAUUCUGCAAGUUGCCUACCCACCUGAACUAAAGUCUCAAAUGAUUUAAAUUUUUUUUUUCUUUAAUUUAAAACUCAAAAAAAUCUAUAAAUAUUUCUGAUGUAGUAUAUUAAAUGGCAGAGCAGAAUGUAAUUAGUAUAUAAGCUUAAAGAAAAAAGUCUGGAUGUUAGAAAAAUGUUUUGACUUAAGUAAUUCGGUUAUCCUGGGGCAGAGAGAGAAGAACACAGCUUAGUUUAAUUUAUUUAUGUGUUAGCUCCAGAGAGAGAGAAAGUGAGCACUUUCAAAAAAAACAGGAUAGAAUACAUUUUUAUUGUAUUUUAUUCUAAUAAGCCAACUGGAGUUAGAUGGAGGGGCUCUGUGAAGGAACUGGUUUGGCAGAACUCAAUCUUAUGGUCCUAACUGUGACAACUUGGAAAGAUUAAGUGUUUUUUGGGGGGACAUAUUAUGCAUUACUCAGGAUAACUAAGAGCAAAAAUGUUUGCUAAGGUAGUGAUUUAUGGUGUGGAGUGUGUGUGUGGGGUGCAUGUUUUUUUUAAUGUAUGUUUGGGGUUUUUUUGGGGGGGGUGGGGGGCGGGUAGUGUUGGGUCCUUGGUUCUUUUUGUUGUUGUUUUUAAGUAUUCAGGAGUGAAAUGCAGUGUGAAAUGGAGUUGUGGUGGUAGCUGUUGAAGUGAGUACAGUGGCAGCGAGGAGACGGCUGAGCACAGCACAGCGGCUCUGGCAGCUGCCCUGCUGCCUUCCCAGCCUCGGCAAUUUGCAAGGCUGAGUCUGCACCAAGGGCCCAAUCACCAACCCCAUGGAAAAUUCCGUUUUAUAAUUUUGAGCUCUACAACAGCUUGUAGCAGCAAGUACCACAAUUUAUAAACUGAACAGGGGGGGUUGUGUGUGUGACAAAAGGUGUCUGUUUUAAACCUGCUGUUUACUGGGUCACUGACGUAGCUAUUUCUGGCCCGAGUCCCAUGCGGGGAGUGUCUGUGUCUCCAAACAUAAGCUCUUGGCACACUGAUGGGCUUCAUACUCUGCAGUAGCUUUCAGAGUCAGGUGGGUGCACCCAGCACAAACAACUGACCUCCCACUGAGCCCUGGAGAGAGCGAGUGAAAUAAAGGGCUUAAUAAUCUCCCUCGUAAUUUGGGUGCAGUUGGUUGUAUUCAGCCAGUGCUGUUGAUGUGCAUGCGGACAGGUCAUGGUUUAGCUGUUGCUGCAGGAAACCCGAUAGACUGCCUUGGCUAAAUCCUGCAGGACAGCACUGUUUACAGCGGUUGCCUUUCUGUCAUACAAACAGCUUCCAAGGAUGUGAGAAAAUUCAGCCCUUGUGGCCUGGCCCUUGCUGCUGCCUGUUGACAUUAAGGUGCUGAAGCUGCAGGAAACACAAGUUCUUUGACUUUCAUCAGAAAAACAACAGAAAACUGAACCCUGCGUACAGCAGAGAAACAGCUGAGUAUCAGGCACCAGAGAAACACAGACUAGGAAUAUCAGUAUGAAACCAGGAACAGAAAACAUCCUGCAUCCUCAGCAUCCUGGGGCUAGAAGUAAAAAGAAGUAAUCCCAUCCCUCACUAAAACUAAACUGAAAUUAAAAAAACCCACAAUUUGCCAAAUAGAAGGACCAGCACAAAUCCCCACUCCCCCAGUGCUUAUUUGCCAGUUCAGACCAGGAGCGGGGAUCUCUCUUUCUCCCAUUUUUUAUUUUAUUGUUAGUGCCUUUCUGCACUGCUCGUCUACGAGGCAGUUCCACACACAGAGCACAAAGAAUACAAGUGCACAGAGGGAUGAGGGUAACUGCAUCAUGAGCUGGUCUCAGGAGAGCUUCUCGCCCUGUCAUGUUUCUCCGAUGUUCAAGCAGCUGUGCCAGAAGACCAGAAGCCUCUGUGUGUGUGUGUCACAUGCGGCCUCGCACUUUCACUGUCUCUUGCCACAGACCCUAGAAAGGGGCGGGCUCCAGUUUUUCCAUCAAGGAUUUGAUCCAACUUGUUCCAUUGAUCAGUUUUGUCGUGGCAAUGACGUACUCGGUGCCUCCAUCUUCCAUUUGGGACAGAAACCUCAGUGCAGCUAUUUCUGCAUAGGUCACCCCUCCCAAGAAGAACACCAGAGUGACUCGGUUCUCACCAUGUUGACCUGCAUAUUCAAAGAAAUUAACAGGUUGUCUUAGUUUUAUUUUUAUGUCUCCUGUCCAUCAACUAUUAGUUAAGCUCAAAAUGAGCCUAACAGAGAUGCAUCUCCCUUUAAAAAGGGGAAAACAAAGCAAAACUUACGUUUUUUCUGAAGGCCAGUAGGUAACUGCUGCCUCUCCUCGAAAUGGGGACCUGGCAGCAUCUUUAACACCUCUUCUAUGCUCCGCCAGCCUGGCCGAGCCAGCAGCUGUGCCAGGCGUACGCUCAGUGGAGCAUAGCCACUGUACACGUAGGAGAUGUCAUUGGGGUUCUGCAAGAGAGAGAGAAGUGUGAGCAGCAGGCGAGCGCUAUCAUGGAAAUGAAGUGAAAUGAAAUAAAAUUAAAUAAUGAAAUAAAAUAAAAAAAUAAAGACGAAGGUUUUCCUGCUGCACAUAAUUCUGUAUUGUUAGAUGCAACAUUCACUGCUGAGGUGGCUGUUUACCUGUUCAUUAACAUCAUCCAUCCACAAGCGCAGGGUUUUCCUGAUUGUUGGGUAGUUAUUCCUACCACUUGUCUGAGGCUUCAGGAGUCCAGCCUUUUCUAAGUUAUUUAAGGUCAAUAUAUGCUCAUAGCCGUAAGUCUGAAAUAUGAAGAAUUCACCUUUAAUAUACCAUGUCAAUAAUCUGUGACCAGGGUGUUAAAAAAACCAAAACAAAACAACAAAGAUAUUAAUUUUAAAAAGGUUUUUUUUGGUUAAGAUCUCUGUAGAGUGUAUCCCAUUUACAGUGUUUGAAUUUUUUCAGAAAUCUUAUCAAUUCAAAAGUCAGAGCCCAACCUGGAGAAUCUCUCUUUUGUAAUGGUCCAGAACCUUCUGUUUCAGUCCACUAUUGCAUACAGAUUGCAAGCAAACAAGGCGUAAGAUCUUGAUUAAUGGAUGUUUUUGAGCUAUGCAGUCUUCAAUAUAAUUAUUAACCUAUUUAAAAAAACAACAACAACAAAAAGCAUAAGCUGUUAUUUAAAGAUCUGUUAAAGUACUGAGAAGACCUCAAAAGAAAGAUCUAGUUUUGCCUAAUAUGUCCGAAACAGCAAGAAAGAGGGUGCAGCUGCUCUCCAGGCAGCUCAAGCCUGUCUAUAAAGUAGCGAUCUAGCACUGGUUCCCCUGGCAUCUUUUCUAAAGCAUGUUGAUUCCACACUCAAUUAUCUAGACUGUGUCUGAUGCAUUAAAAAAGCUCUGAUGAACGGUCCCGAAUCUUUCACUGAUCCCUCAGGGCAUGAAGUGCCCCAGCUGUGUACACCUGUGUUACAGGCAACAAUAGGAAAAAACCUGCAAGUGUGCACGAAGACAUGUAAGAACUCACAACCUAGACAACUGAUGGAGACAGACAUCAUCUAGAUCAGGUUUCCUCUUUCAAAAACCCCAAAUGGAAAAAAAAAAACAAACAGAGAAAUACAUUGUUGGCUAUUUUUGAGGACACAAGAGUCACUAGUUGUCAUUACCUUGUCUGUGUCUAUUCCAGACAUGAACUCUUGUUCCACUGUUAAAUUAUCAAAGAAAUCUUCAGAUGCUGUGAGAGAAGAAUGAAAAUCAAUAGAGUAGCAACCAAUAGCUUAUUUUCUACAUUUAACAUUUCAGCAGAUGCACUGGAUGGAGCAAAGCAAAUUUUUGCCAAGCUGAAUGACGUCCAUCAAGUCAUCUUGCUAUAUUUAAAUUACUCUGAUAGACUGCUCAACAUAUACUCACUGGUGAUGUCUUUGAUGAGUUCUGCAAUGGAAGUGUGGUUCGCUAGAGAACUUCUUGCCGCCUGCAUGUGUGGCAGCUGUGACACAAACUGCUUAAUCUCUCCAACGGUUUUUGCGUGAUGUCUUUCCUAAAUAAAUCCAUUGCUCAGGUUAGGGCUUGUUCACAUUAAUUGGCCACACGUCAACUCGAUCAUUUUAUAAUGAAAAAGAAUUUUACUCACUGCAACAGCAGAUACUGUUAGAGAUAUGCAGCCUUUAGAGAAAAUACAUUACAUGCUUAGCCUAAAGUCACAGCAUUAUCUGUAACAGCACUUUGACCAUUAAAAUAGGCAGGACAUAAUACAACACAAUCAUUAGACUGUUUUUUUCCCAUUAAACCAGUAUUGCAAAUCACUUUUCUCCACCUUUGUCUGACUUCAGCCAUCAGGAUCUGCUCAAAGCAGUAGUGAAAGCUGCUGAGGAACUGGGCUGGCAUUGUCUGCGUCCCUCGCAAACAGAAGCCUGCCAGUCACUGUACCUGGUGGUAACAGUGCCCCAGGUUUGGGGCAAGGAUGUGAUGAAGCACAAUGCAGACUUCAGCUCUCAGAGCAGUCCACAGGUCUGUAUUUCCUUUGGGCUACUUGGGAUAAAAAUAAUAAUUUGACUCAUAUGUGAAGGACUUAAAUGGGCAAGUACAGGCAGGAGAGCGAUAAUGAUGAAGCCUGCAACUUAAGAAGUCCUCUGCUGCUGUUUCAUUAUCACCUAUUACCCCAGACAAUUUCUUAAUUUUUUUUUUUAAUUAACAACUAGUAUGAAUAAUCCAUCUUUAGCACCGUCAGCACUAAUAUUGCAGUAACAGACAUUUACUGAGACCUGAGGCUGAGCACACAGUAUUUCAGUUAAGGUACUGCUACCUCACCUUAAAUGUGGCAGAAGUGAAGAGGCAAAGAUAAAAAUAAGGAAAUACCAUCAAACAGUGUAACAAGUUCUCUUGAGAAUCACCAUCAAGUCUGAAAGCAGAGAUAUGGGAUCUCAGGUUCUUUAUGAAUCAUCAACAGGAUGUUUUCAAACAAAACUGCAAACACACCUCACAGCACUCUCCAGCUUUGUCUAAGGUGACACAUGAGCAUGAAUUUACAGGUCAAACCUCCUGUAAGACAACCGUCUUCUUCCUAUUCUUAUCUGUUUUUAUGCCAGCCAUAAACUCUAUGGGUACAUUCUGGAGUUUUAUUUCUUAAAGCAUUUUCUCUGCAUCUUCAGUAAAUACAAAGGGAAAAAGAACUUUCUGUUAACAGGUAACAACAGCAACAAAGUGGAAUUGAUCAGUUCGCUCAAAUUCACCUUUGGCCUCUUGCAGAGGGAAGCAGCACCUGACUGUUCUGCAGACUUAGCUGAGGCCAAGAAAGCCCUGGGGAUGCACAGCUGGGUACAGGCCUCACCUCAAAGGCUGCUGAGAUGAUCUUGGCUUUCUUGCUCAGCACAGACCCCACAGCAUUGAAGUUCUUGUCUCGGAUUUCUGCGUACAGCUCUUCAGCAGAGUUCAGCUGGAGCUUCUUGGGUUCCGUGGGGAGAUCUUUCCCACCCUCACCCUGCUUCUUCGGGGCAAACUUCUCAGGAGGGAGUUUCACGUAAGCUACCAAAAGCAGAGAGAUAACCCUUAUAGAGACUGAAUGUUCAGCACCAGAAGUUAAAAGAUAAGCAGGCUGUGGAAAUGUGUCCCAAGCUGGAAACAGUUCUGAGCAGCAAAGCUAAUUAAAUGCCCAGAUGACUCAGCGUAUGUGUUAAUAAAGGAGAGUCUCCCUGUACUCACCCAGGGACCCUAAUACCUAUACAUAUACACAUUAUCAGAACCCAGGUGCUAGCUACCCUGCUACCCUGUCCUCAGCUCCCCUUCCUAGGAAAAAAGAGGCAGAACUGAUCUUGACGGGCUCUAGCUUGGGACAGAACCAUCCCUGCACCAAGUUCAGGUGAGCUGCUCCCACGUCACUGUCACUCAGUGAAACAUAAACCCACCUGACCCAGCAUGACCUGCUCAAGCACACCAGAGACCUCCCCGUUCUCCGGCCGUACUCACUGUUCUGAAUUCCGUAGAUUUCGUCUAUCAGCCCUUCGUACGUCAGCUGCGUAGCUAACGGUGUCAGCAGAUCGACGUUGCGGUCCAGCAACAACAGGGUAUCAAAGACGGGAAAUAUUGAGUUCUGGCUUCCAGGGAACUCACGCUUCAUCCUGAUCAUCAUAUUAGCCACGUGCUGAAAAUAAAUUGUGUUGGGCUGGUUACGGUGCAGGUCAUAAUAGAGGGAUCCAAUUUGUAGGCCACACAAGCACACGCUCGUGCAAGUGUGGGGCACAGCCCUGUGUAAAGGAAGAGAAUGGCAGGAGGUACAAACCCGCUGACAGUCCUUGCCUGUCUCUGCACUUAGCAAGACAGCGACUGUGGCUGAAGAUCUGGGCUCAUCUCAAGCCACUCAUUCAUUACAAAAGUUACCGAUUAUAUGGUAUUGAUCAGAGAGAGGAAAAAAAAGGUGAGUUAUAGGGAGAGAUGAAAAAGCAAAGGCAUGAGCAGUAGGUUACACAUUUCCCGCUUUAUGCAGACAUUCUGAUACCAACAGAGCAAGUCUUAAAAUUUCACAGAAAGAACUGCUGAAAACACGAAGGCAGUGUACAUGUGAGCAAAACAUACGAAAUCAGAUAAAUCCUCCUGACAGGAAGACUUACGGAACACCAAAUACUGUUCUUUUGGCCAGACAUGAUAAAGACCUGAUGGCUGUGAUCCCAAAAUGCCAAUAUGACAAGAUAGGUCUGUGGCUGGAUUCAAAAUCCCACAAAGGCAUUUAACCGAACACACUUUAACGCAGUUCGAAAGAACAAGGUGCAGUUUUUAAGCAGCAGCAUUUGCCUUACCCGGGCACACUCGCCCUUCCCAAAAAUCUGUGGGAUGGUUCCGUAGAGAGCUUGCAGCGUCAUCAGCCCCUUUGCCGCGUGGUACAGACUUGUCUGGUCGCUCUCCAGGUAACAUUCCUAAACAACAAGAAGGAUUCCCCAUGGAAGGUGUCAGAGCUGCUUCCACAGCAGAAUGUGGUCCAUGUGAACAGUUCAGAGGAGAUGCAGGCUGGGCAAAAACUAUGGCCGUUGGCACAUAUGCACCUUUUCUGUGCUGUCACAACAUCAAAUUGUUUGAUCAAACCAGACACUAAUAUUUCUGAAUCUCACACUCCCAGUUCGAUGGAGAGUAGUAAGAGAGACAGAAAAUGAGUGCAAAGAGCCUCUCCCUCUAAUUAGGCCACUCUGAGAGCACAACACCUCGUCACAGCUGCCGACAAGCUGCAAGCCCUGAUGCAUCCUCUGGGAUAAUAAGGCAGAGAUGACCAAAGGAACUCUUUAAACCUUUCUGUCCCCAGAUGCAUCGUUCUGAGAAAACAGGAUACACGGCUGGUAUGGGGCAGCUAAUUCUCGGUGCAGCUUACUGUGCAGUUUUAACCAUCAUAUGCAGCUCUUCGGCUGCAUAUUCACACAAACUGUGCUGGCUCUUUGGAACAACUAGGAGUUUUAGGCCUCAUAAAUGCUCAAUGUGUGACAACACCAGCAGUUCAAGCUGGAGGAACCGGAGUGCAUCUUGGUGUAGUGUUUAGUCAGAAAACAGAGAAUUUCAGGCUCAACUUACCUUGAACGCGCUCUCAGACUCCAUGGAGAGCAGGUCUCCAUCGAAGGGUAUCAGGUCCAGGCUGUACUGCUCCCGGUGGAUGAAGGAGCCCAGCACGCCCUGCUCCUUCAGCCACUGCUCGCACAGCAGGCUGCGGCGCGGCACAAAGAGGAUGUGGAAAUCCCUCUGGGGAGAGCGGCCUCUGUCUUCCCUACGAGAGUCACAGGAGGAAGGAGCACAGCAAACGGUAACUGCGCUGCACA